CAGUAGCCGCGGUAAUACGUAGGGUGCAAGCGUUAAUCGGAAUUACUGGGCGUAAAGCGUGCGCAGGCGGUUUGUUAAGACAGAUGUGAAAUCCCCGGGCUCAACCUGGGAACUGCAUUUGUGACUGGCAAGCUAGAGUGUGUCAGAGGAUGGUGGAAUUCCCGGUGUAGCGGUGAAAUGCGUAGAGAUCGGGAGGAACAUCAGUGGCGAAGGCGGCCAUCUGGGACAACACUGACGCUGAGGCACGAAAGCGUGGGGAGCAAACAGGAUUAGAGACCCCCGUAGUCCCUGUCUCUUAUAC
rnacentral:rRNA from 1 species